CGUGCCUACGGGAGGCAGCAGUGGGGAAUAUUGGGCAAUGGGCGCAAGCCUGACCCAGCAAUGCCGCGUGAAGGAAGAAGGCCCUCGGGUUGUAAACUUCUUUUAUCAGGGACGAAGGAUGUGACGGUACCUGAUGAAUAAGCUCCGGCUAACUACGUGCCAGCAGCCGCGGUAAUACGUAGGGAGCAAGCGUUAUCCGGAUUUAUUGGGUUUAAAGGGUGCGCAGGCGGCACGGCAAGCCGGCGGUCAAAUCGCGGGGCUCAACCCCGCCCAGCCGUCGGAACUGCCGGGCUAGAGUGGGCGAG
rnacentral:rRNA from 1 species